UGGGGAAUAUUGGACAAUGGGCGAAAGCCUGAUCCAGCCAUGCCGCGUGUGUGAAGAAGGUCUUCGGAUUGUAAAGCACUUUAAGUUGGGAGGAAGGGCAGUAAGCGAAUACCUUGCUGUUUUGACGUUACCGACAGAAGAAGCACCGGCUAACUCUGUGCCAGCAGCCGCGGUAAUACAGAGGGUGCAAGCGUUAAUCGGAAUUACUGGGCGUAAAGCGCGCGUAGGUGGUUCGUUAAGUUAAAUGUGAGAGCCCCGGGCUCGACCUGGGAACUGCAUCCAUUACUGGCGAGCUAGAGUAGGGCAGAGGGUGGUGGAAUUUCCUGUGUGGCUGUGAAAUGCAUAGAUAUAGGAAGGAACACCAGUGGCGAAGGCGACCACCUGGGCUCAUACUGACACUGAGGUGCGAAAGCGUGGGGAGCAAGCAGG
rnacentral:rRNA from 1 species